rnacentral:sRNA from 1 species
UGAAACGAUCGCACCACCCCCGCGUAGAGGCGGC